rnacentral:rRNA from 1 species
UACGUAGGAGACGAGCGUUGUCCGGAAUUACUGGGCGUAAAGCGCGUGUAGGCGGAUAGGCAAGUCUGCUGUGAAAGCUCCUGGCUUAACCGGGAGUGGUCGGUGGAAACUGCUUAUCUGGAGGACGGUAGAGGCUGGUGGAAUUCCCGGUGUAGUGGUGAAAUGCGUAGAGAUCGGGAGGAACACCUGUGGCGAAGGCGGCCAGCUGGGCCGGACCUGACGCUGAGACGCGAAGGCGUGGGGAGCGAACGGG